rnacentral:rRNA from 1 species
CCUACGGGAGGCAGCAGUGAGGAAUAUUGGUCAAUGGGCGUAAGCCUGAACCAGCCAAGUCGCGUGAGGGAUGAAGGUUCUAUGGAUCGUAAACCUCUUUUAUAAGGGAAUAAAGUGUGGGACGUGUCCUAUUUUGUAUGUACCUUAUGAAUAAGGAUCGGCUAACUCCGUGCCAGCAGCCGCGGUAAUACGGAGGAUCCGAGCGUUAUCCGGAUUUAUUGGGUUUAAAGGGUGCGUAGGCGGCCUUUUAAGUCAGCGGUGAAAGUCUGUGGCUCAACCAUAGAAUUGCCGUUGAAACUGGGGGGCUUGAGUAUGUUUGAGGCAGGCGGAAGGCGUGGUGUAGCGGUGAAAUGCUUAGAUAUCACGAAGAACCCCGGUGGCGAAGGCAGCUUGCCAGGCCAUGACUGACGCUGAGGCACGAAAGCGUGGGGAUCAAACAGGAUUAGAGACCCCAGUAGUC